rnacentral:ncRNA from 2 species
GCCACGCCCCGGUUGCAAGGUGCCGCCGGCCGCAAGGCCAGGUGGUCAAACGGGAAGCAGGUGAGAAGCCUGCGCUGCCCCCGCAACGGUCAGCGGAUCACAACCCCUCACGCCGGCGCCCCGCGCCGGCAGUCACUGCGUCCUCCGGGCGUGGGAAGGCGAGGGGCCUGGCGCCUCCACGAGGCGCCGCUCCGCGAGCCCGGAUACCGGCCUUGCGAUCGACUUCGGA